rnacentral:rRNA from 1 species
GUAAGGGCGCGUAGGCGGUCUUUUAAGUCAGAUGUGAAAGCCCGGGGCUCAACCCCGGAAGUGCAUUUGAAACUGAGGGACUUGAGUAUGGGAGAGGGAAGUGGAAUUCCUGGUGUAGAGGUGAAAUUCGUAGAUAUCAGGAGGAACACCGGAGGCGAAGGCGACUUUCUGGACCAAUACUGACGCUGAGGCGCGAAGGCGUGGGGAGCAAACAGGAUUAGAUACCCUGGUAGUCCACGCAUGAAACGGAGAACACUAGGUGUAGCGGGGAUUGACCCCUGCUGUGCCGCAAUUUACGCAUUAAGUGGUCCCCCUGGGGAGUACCACCGCAAGGAUAAAACUCAAAGGAAUUGACGGGGGCCCCCAACAGCGGGGGAACAUGUGGUUUAAUUCGACGCAACGCGAAAAACCUUACCUGGAUUUGACAUCCCGAGAAAUCUUUUGAAAAAAAGAUGUGGCCUUCGGGGAACUCGGAGACAGGAGCUGCAUGGCUGGCGUCAGCUCGUGUCGUGAGAUGUUGGGUUAAGUCCCGUAACGAGCGCAACCCCUAUCUUUAGUUACCAUCAUUAAGUUGGGGACUCUACUCAUACUGCACCGGUUAACGCGGAGGAGAGUGGGGAUGACGUCAAGUCCUCAUGUCCUUUAUAUUCUGAGCUACACUCCUGCUACACUGCGCUGUACAAUAGGUCGCACACUCGCGAGGGUGGACUAAUCCCAUACCGUAGCUCUGAUUUCGGUUUGGAGUGUGCAACUCAACU